AGCGAACGCUGGCGGCAGGCCUAACACAUGCAAGUCGAACGGAUCCUUCGGGAUUAGUGGCGGACGGGUGAGUAACACGCGGGAACGUGCCCUUUGGUUCGGAACAACUCAGGGAAACUUGAGCUAAUACCGGAUGUGCCCUUCGGGGGAAAGAUUUAUCGCCAUUGGAGCGGCCCGCGUCUGAUUAGCUAGUUGGUGAGGUAACGGCCCACCAAGGCGACGAUCAGUAGCUGGUCUGAGAGGAUGAUCAGCCACACUGGGACUGAGACACGGCCCAGACUCCUACGGGAGGCAGCAGUGGGGAAUCUUGCGCAAUGGGCGAAAGCCUGACGCAGCCAUGCCGCGUGAAUGAUGAAGGUCUUAGGAUUGUAAAAUUCUUUCAGCGGGGACGAUAAUGACGGUACCCGCAGAAGAAGCUCCGGCUAACUUCGUG
rnacentral:rRNA from 1 species